GGGACUGUAGCUCAGCGGUAGAGUGUUUACCUAGCAAGCAUGAGGCCCUGAGUUCCAACCUCAGCACUGCGG
rnacentral:tRNA from 1 species